rnacentral:rRNA from 1 species
GUGCCAGCAGCCGCGGUAAUACGUAGGGUGCAAGCGUUAAUCGGAAUUACUGGGCGUAAAGCGUGCGCAGGCGGUUUUGUAAGUCUGACGUGAAAUCCCCGGGCUCAACCUGGGAAUUGCGUUGGAGACUGCAAGGCUAGAAUCUGGCAGAGGGGGGUAGAAUUCCACGUGUAGCAGUGAAAUGCGUAGAGAUGUGGAGGAACACCGAUGGCGAAGGCAGCCCCCUGGGUCAAGAUUGACGCUCAUGCACGAAAGCGUGGGGAGCAAACAGGAUUAGAUACCCUGGUAGUCC